GGGGGCCCGCAAGCGGUGGAGCAUGUGGUUUAAUUCGAAGCAACGCGAAGAACCUUACCAGGUCUUGACAUCCUUUGACCACUCUAGAGAUAGAGCUUUCCCUUCGGGGACAAAGUGACAGGUGGUGCAUGGUUGUCGUCAGCUCGUGUCGUGAGAUGUUGGGUUAAGUCCCGCAACGAGCGCAACCCUUAUUAUUAGUUGCCAGCAUUCAGUUGGGCACUCUAGUGAGACUGCCGGUGAUAAACCGGAGGAAGGUGGGGAUGACGUCAAAUCAUCAUGCCCCUUAUGACCUGGGCUACACACGUGCUACAAUGGAUGGUACAACGAGUCGCAAAACCGCGAGGUUAAGCUAAUCUCUUAAAGCCAUUCUCAGUUCGGAUUGUAGGCUGCAAUUCGCCUACAUGAAGCCGGAAUCGCUAGUAAUCGCGGAUCAGAACGCCGCGGUGAAUACGUUCCCGGGCCUUGUACACACC
rnacentral:rRNA from 1 species